rnacentral:rRNA from 1 species
UCAGAACGAACGCUGGCGGCGUGCUUAACACAUGCAAGUCGAACGCGAAAGCUUCCUUCGGGAAGCGAGUAGAGUGGCGCACGGGUGAGUAACACGUGGAUAAUCUGCCCGACGAUCUGGGAUAACAUUCCGAAAGGAGUGCUAAUACCGGAUAAGCCCACAGGCUCUUCGGAGUUUGCGGGAAAAGGUGGGGACCUUCGGGCCUACCGUCGUCGGAUGAGUCCGCGUCCCAUUAGCUAGUUGGCGGGGUAAUGGCCCACCAAGGCGACGAUGGGUAGCUGGUCUGAGAGGAUGGUCAGCCACACUGGAACUGAGACACGGUCCAGACUCCUACGGGAGGCAGCAGUGGGGAAUUUUGCGCAAUGGGGGAAACCCUGACGCAGCAACGCCGCGUGAGUGAUGAAGGCUUUCGGGUCGUAAAGCUCUGUCAGAGGGGAAGAAACUCUUGUGGUCGAACAGGUCACAGGAUUGACGGUACCCUCAAAGGAAGCACCGGCUAACUCCGUGCCAGCAGCCGCGGUAAUACGGAGGGUGCGAGCGUUGUUCGGAAUUAUUGGGCGUAAAGCGCGUGCAGGCGGCCUGUUAAGUCUGAUGUGAAAGCCCGGGGCUCAA